rnacentral:lncRNA from 1 species
AGGAUUUGGUUAAGAUUUGUUUAGGAUUUGUUUGGGAUUUGGUUAGGAUUUGUUUAGGAUUUUGUUAAGAUUUGGUUAGGAUUUGUUUAGAAUUUGACUAGAAUUUGAUUAAGAUUUGAUUAGGAUUUAUUUAGGAUUUGUUUAGGAUUUGAUUAAGAUUUGUUUAAAAUUUAUUUAGGAUUUGUUUAGGAUUUUUUUAGGAUUUAUUUAAGAUUUGGUUAGAAUUUUUUUAAGGUUUGACUAGGAUUUAUUUGGGAUUUGAUUAGAAUUUGUAUAGGAUUUGGUUAAGAUUUGUUUAGGAUUUGUUUGGGAUUUUCUUAGGAUUUUUUUUGGAUUUGACUUGGAUUUGACUUGGAUUUGACUUGGAUGUGAUUAAGGUUUGUUUAGGAUUUGAUUAAGAUUUGGUUAGGAUAUUUUAGGAUUUGAUUAGGAUUUUUUAAAGAUUUGGUUAAGGUUUGUUGAGGUCUUAUUUAGGAUUUGGUUAAGAUUUGGUUAGAAUUCGACUAGAAUUUGAUUAAGAUUUGUGUAGGAUUUGAUUAGAAUUUGGUUAGGAUUUGAUUAAGAUUUGGUUAAGAUUUAUUUAAUAUUUGAUUAGGAUUUGGUUAGAGUUUUUUUAGGAUUUGAUUAAAAUUUGAUUAAGAUUUAUUUGUGAUUUGAUAAGACUUUGAUUAGGAUUUGUUAAGAUUUGAUAAAGAUUUUUUAGGAUUUUAUUAAGAUUUGUUUAGGUUUUUUUUAGGAUUUGGUUAGAGUUUGAUCAUGAUUUGACUAGGAUUUGGUUAAGGUUUGUUUAGGAUUUUAUUUGAAUUUGGUUAGGAUUUUUUUAGGAUUUGGUUAAGAUUUAUUUAAGAUUUGAUUAGGAUUUGGAUAGGAUUUAUUUAGGCUUUAACUAGGAUUUAUUUAAGAUUUGGUUAGGAUUUAGAUAGAAUUUGGUUAGAAUUUAUUUUGGAUUUGACUAAGAUUUAAUUAAGAUUUGUUUAAGAUUUUGAUUAGGAUUUAUUUAAGAUUUUAUUAGGAUUUGUUUAGGAUUUGGUUAGGAUUUAUUUAGAAUUUGAUUAGAAUUUAUUUAGGAUUUGGUUAGAAUUUGUUUAUGGUUUGUUUAGAAUUUGGUUAAAAUUUGUUUAAAAUUUGAUUAGAAUUUGGUUAAGAUUUGUUAAGAUUUGACUAGGAUUUAUUUAGAGUUUGGUUAGAAUUCGACUAGAAUUUGAGUAGAAUUUGAUUAAGUUUAGACUAAGAUUUAAUUAAAGUUUUUAUUUUAAUAUUUUAU